rnacentral:rRNA from 1 species
GCCCCGCCGUAAACUUUUAAUUACACCCCCAUCGCCCGGGAACUACGAGCCAAGCUUAAAACCCAAAGGACUUGACGGUACCCCACAUCCACCUAGAGGAGCCUGUUCUACAAUCGAUAACCCCCGUUUAACCUCACCAUUUUUAGCCAAUCAGUCUGUAUACCUCCGUCGUCAGCUUACCACGUGAGCGACCCAUAAGUGAGCUCAAUGCCCAUACGCCAACACGUCAGGUCAAGGUGCAGCAAAUAAAAUGGAAAGAAAUGGGCUACACUUUCUAAAAUAGAAAACACGAAAGACUAUCUAUGAAAUCCUAGUCAGAAGGCGGAUUUAGUAGUAAAAAGAGAUCAGAGAGCUCUUUUUAACCCGGCACUGGGGUGUGUACACACCGCCCGUCACCCUCUUCGAAGCUCACAGACAGUUAUUAACUAGACCACCGCCAUAUAGAAGAGGCAAGUCGUAACAUGGUAAGUAUACCGGAAGGUGUGCUUGGUAAA